CGAGAUUGUGAAUCGAUCACUAAGUUAGAAAAAAACCCUUCCCAUCAUUAAGAAUGCAAUUUUAUAUAUUCAUCUUUUCUAAAACAACAAUAUGGGAUUGUGGAUAAGAUCGUAUAAGCUAAUAUCAAUAGGAUAAACUGAAGCACGCACGUUUUAUAAUGACAUGCUCCAAUCCCUUUCUAGGUUAUUCAAAAGCAAACGUUUAGUAUUAAACCCACAUGCUUCGAUCCUCGUGGUUAGGCA
rnacentral:lncRNA from 1 species